rnacentral:rRNA from 1 species
AGUGAACGCUGGCGGUAGGCCUAACACAUGCAAGUCGAACGGCAGCACAGUAAGAGCUUGCUCUUACGGGUGGCGAGUGGCGGACGGGUGAGGAAUACAUCGGAAUCUACUUUUUCGUGGGGGAUAACGUAGGGAAACUUACGCUAAUACCGCAUACGACCUACGGGUGAAAGCAGGGGAUCUUCGGACCUUGCGCGAUUGAAUGAGCCGAUGUUGGAUUAGCUAGUUGGCGGGGUAAAGGCCCACCAAGGCGACGAUCCGUAGCUGGUCUGAGAGGAUGAUCAGCCACACUGGAACGGGGACACGGUCCAGACUCCUACGGGAGGCAGCAGUGGGGAAUAUUGGACAAUGGGCGCAAGCCUGAUCCAGCCAUACCGCGUGGGUGAAGAAGGCCUUCGGGUUGUAAAGCCCUUUUGUUGGGAAAGAAAAGCAGCAGGUUAAUACCCCGCUGUUCUGACGGUACCCAAAGAAUAAGCACCGGCUAACUUCGUG